UACAGAGGUCCCGAGCGUUGUUCGGAUUCACUGGGCGUAAAGGGUGCGCAGGUGGGUUUGCAAGUUCGAUGUGAAAGCCCCGGGCUUAACCCGGGAAAGGCAUUGGAUACUGCAGAUCUGGAGGAUCGGAGGGGGGACUGGAAUUCUUGGUGUAGCAGUGAAAUGCGUAGAUAUCAAGAGGAACACCAGUGGCGAAGGCGAGUCCCUGGACGAUGACCCGACACUGAGGCACGAAAGCCGGGGGAGCAAACAGG
rnacentral:rRNA from 1 species